rnacentral:ncRNA from 2 species
CAUUUAUACAGAAUAGGGAAGAGAGCAGGCUCAAUGAUCCUAUAGCAACCGACUUAAAGAACGGUGCUAAACCUGCCCAAAAAUAAAAGGGAACUAUAAAUU